GACGAACGCUGGCGGCGUGCUUAACACAUGCAAGUCGAGCGGUAAGGCCCUUUCGGGGGUACACGAGCGGCGAACGGGUGAGUAACACGUGGGUGACCUGCCCUCAGCUCUGGGAUAAGCCUGGGAAACCGGGUCUAAUACCGGAUAUGACUCCAUGACGCAUGUUGUGGGGUGGAAAGCCUUGUGCGGCUGAGGAUGGGCCCGCGGCCUAUCAGCUUGUUGGUGGGGUGAUGGCCUACCAAGGCGACGACGGGUAGCCGGCCUGAGAGGGCGACCGGCCACACUGGGACUGAGACACGGCCCACGACUCCUACGGGAGGGCAGCAGUGGGGAAUCUUGCGCAAUGGGCGAAAGCCUGACGCAGCGACGCCGCGUGAGGGAUGACGGCCU
rnacentral:rRNA from 1 species